AAGUGAGCAAACAAGGAGAAAAUUUAAAUCAUUCAUUAAAUAAGGCAUUGGGUUUCUAGGUACUCUGCUGCUCUGCUGUCCGAAAGAUCACCAAGCUUUAUAUCACAAGAAGAAAUAUAUAUUAAAGGUCAUAGAAACAAGGAAUAUUUGUGGAAUAUUAAAAAUUACUGAGUGUGGUUUCAAGUUCAGAUCAAACUUUCUCAGUAAUUCACAUUUGAUGUGCUCCAGCUCAUCCUUCCCCAAUUAAAAUUUGUACGUUUGCCAAUAAAGAUUAAGAGAUCAGCA
rnacentral:lncRNA from 1 species